rnacentral:tRNA from 1 species
UGUCCCAUAGCUCAACGGUAGAGCGAUCGGCUGUUAACCGGUUUGUUGAAAGUUCGAAUCUUUCUGGGACAG